GGAUGUGAGGGUGAUCUGGCUGUGACAUCUGUCACACCACUGGUUGCCAGGGUUGCUUUGGUUGAUCUGGCUGGCUGGGUGCUCAGCCAUCCCCACCGCUCUGUGCUUCUCUCCCAAAGCUAUGUGCUCAGUUAGGAGAGGCAGCCUUCCCUGGGAGGACUCAUCUCCAGUCAAGGCUGUUGAGUAGUUGCGUUCUCUUGUUAGAGUCUGCAAGCAAGCUCUCAAGCAGGGGACGUAUGUAAGGCGAAAGCCACUGAAGGGCAGGGCCUUCCAGGUCUGAUUUAUACAGUGUACUCCUCUACCU
rnacentral:snRNA from 1 species